rnacentral:rRNA from 1 species
UACGGAAGGGGGCUAGCGUUGCUCGGAAUCACUGGGCGUAAAGCGCACGUAGGCGGAUCUUUAAGUCAGGGGUGAAAUCCUGGAGCUCAACUCCAGAACUGCCUUUGAUACUGAGGACCUUGAGUUCGGGGAGAGGGUGAGUGGAACUGCGAGUGUAGAGGUGAAAUUCGUAGAUAUUCGCAAGAACACCAGUGGCGAAGGCGGCUCACUGGCCCGAGUACUGACGCUGAGGUGCGAAAGCGUGGGGAGCAAACAGGG